GAUGACGAACGUAGCGAAAUGCGAUAAGUAAUGUGAAUUGCAGAAUUCAGUGAAUCAUCGAAUCUUUGAACGCACCUUGCGCCCCUUGGUAUCCCGAGGGGCAUGCCUGUUCGAGCGUCAUUUCACCACUCAAGCCUGGCUUGGUGUUGGGCGACGUCCCCUUUGGGGACGCGCCUCGAAACGCUCGGCGGCGUGGCACCGGCUUUAAGCGUAGCAGAAUCUUUCGCUUUGGAAGUCGGGGCCCCGUCUGCCGGAAGACCUACUCGCAAGGUUGACCUCGGAUCAGGCAGGGAUACCCGCUGAACUUAAGCAUAUCAAUAAGCGGAGGA
rnacentral:misc_RNA from 1 species